AGUCCGGAAUUAUUGGGCGUAAAGCGCGCGCAGUGUCGGUCCUUUAAGUCUGAUGUGAAAGCCCACGGCUCAACCGUGGAGGGUCAUUGGAAACUGGGGGACUUGAUGUGCAGAAGAGGAAAGUGGAAUUCCACGUGUACGGUGAAAUGCGUAAGACGUGGAGGAACACCAUGGCGAAGCGACUUUCUGGUCUGUAACUGACGCUGAGGCGCGAAAGCGUGGGGAGCAAACAGGAUUAAUACCCUGGUAGUCCACGCCGUAAACGAUGAGUGCUAAGUGUUAGGGGGUUUCCGCCCCUUAGUGCUGCAGCUAACGCAUUAAGCACUCCGCCUGGGGAGUACGGCCGCAAGGCUGAAACUCAAAGGAAUUGACGGGGGCCCGCACAAGCGGUGGAGCAUGUGGUUUAAUUCGAAGCAACGCGAAGAACCUUACCAGGUCUUGACAUCCCGCUGCCCGCCUUGGAGACAAGGCUUUCCCUUCGGGGACAGCGGUGACAGGUGGUGCAUGGUUGUCGUCAGCUCGUGUCGUGAGAUGUUGGGUUAAGUCCCGCAACGAGCGCACACCCUUGAUCUUAGUUGCCAGCAUUCAGUUGGGCACUCUAAGGUGACUGCCGGUGACAAACCGGAGGAAGGUGGGGAUGACGUCAAUCAUCAUGCCCCUUAUGACCUGGGCUACACACGUGCUACAAUGGACGGUACAACAGGGUCGCGAACCCGCGAGGGGGAGCCAAUCCCAGAAAAACCGUUCUCCAGUUCCGGAUUGCAGGGCUGCAACUCGCCUGCCAUGAAGCCGGGAAUCGCUAGUAAUCGCGGAUCAGCAUGCCCGCGGGUGGAAUAACGUUCCCGGGCCUUGCUCACAACACCGGCCGGUCAAGG
rnacentral:rRNA from 1 species